rnacentral:rRNA from 1 species
AGUGAACGCUGGCGGUAGGCCUAACACAUGCAAGUCGAACGGCAGCACAGUAAGAGCUUGCUCUUACGGGUGGCGAGUGGCGGACGGGUGAGGAAUACAUCGGAAUCUACUUUUUCGUGGGGGAUAACGUAGGGAAACUUACGCUAAUACCGCAUACGACCUACGGGUGAAAGCAGGGGAUCUUCGGACUUUGCGCGAUUGAAUGAGCCGAUGUCGGAUUAGCUAGUUGGCGGGGUAAAGGCCCACCAAGGCGACGAUCCGUAGCUGGUCUGAGAGGAUGAUCAGCCACACUGGAACUGAGACACGGUCCAGACUCCUACGGGAGGCAGCAGUGGGGAAUAUUGGACAAUGGGCGCAAGCCUGAUCCAGCUAUACCGCGUGGGUGAAGAAGGCCUUCGGGUUGUAAAGCCCUUUUGUUGGGAAAGAAAAGCAGCAGGUUAAUACCCCGCUGUUCUGACGGUACCCAAAGAAUAAGCACCGGCUAACUUCGUG